rnacentral:rRNA from 1 species
UACGAAGGGGGCUAGCGUUGCUCGGAAUCACUGGGCGUAAAGGGUGCGUAGGCGGGUCUUUAAGUCAGGGGUGAAAUCCUGGAGCUCAACUCCAGAACUGCCUUUGAUACUGAAGAUCUUGAGUCCGGGAGAGGUGAGUGGAACUGCGAGUGUAGAGGUGAAAUUCGUAGAUAUUCGCAAGAACACCAGUGGCGAAGGCGGCUCACUGGCCCGGUACUGACGCUGAGGCACGAAAGCGUGGGGGAGCAG